GAUGAACGCUGGCGGCGUGCCUAAUACAUGCAAGUCGAGCGAACAGACGAGGAGCUUGCUUCUCUGAUAUUAGCGGCGGACGGGUGAGUAACACGUGGAUAACCUACCUAUAAGACUGGGAUAACUUCGGGAAACCGGAGCUAAUACCGGAUAAUAUUUUGAACCGCAUGGUUCAAAAGUGAAAGACGGUCUUGCUGUCACUUAUAGAUGGAUCCGCGCUGCAUUAGCUAGUUGGUAAGGUAACGGCUUACCAAGGCAACGAUGCGUAGCCGACCUGAGAGGGUGGGCGGCCACACUAGAACUGAGACACGGUCCAGACGCCUACGGGAGGCAGAAGUAGGGAAUCUUCCGCAAUGGGCGAAAGCCUGACGGAGCAACGCCGCGUGAGUGAUGAAGGUCUUCGGAUCGUAAAACUCUGUUAUUAGGGAAGAACAAAUGUGUAAGUAACUAUGCACGUCUUGACGGUACCUAAUCAGAAAGCCACGGCUAACUACGUG
rnacentral:rRNA from 1 species